rfam:Oryza sativa Japonica Group DNA, chromosome 9, cultivar: Nipponbare, complete sequence.
AAAAAGACAAACCCUGGGUUUCCGUGUCCAACGUUUGACUGUCCGUCUUAUAUGAAAUUUUUUUAUAAUCAAUAUUUUUAUUGUUGUUAGAUGAUAAAACAUAAUUAAUACUUUAUGCGUGACUUGUUUUUUUAAUUUUUUUUUAUAUUUUUUUUAAAUAAGACGGUUAAACAUUUAACAUGAAAUCGGUCGUAGCAGUUAAG